GCCGUGGUGGCGGAAUUGGUAGACGCGCUAGCCUUAGGAGCUAGUGUUCUCAGGGACGUGAGAGUUCGAGUCUCUCCCACGGCACCA
rnacentral:tRNA from 1 species